GAUGAACGCUGGCGGCGUGCUUAACACAUGCAAGUCGAACGGAGAGCUCAUGACAGAGGAUUCGUCCAAUGGAUUGGGUUUCUUAGUGGCGGACGGGUGAGUAACGCGUGAGGAACCUGCCUCGGAGUGGGGAAUAACAGUCCGAAAGGACUGCUAAUACCGCAUAAUGCAGCUGUGUCGCAUGACACUGGCUGCCAAAGAUUUAUCGCUCUGAGAUGGCCUCGCGUCUGAUUAGCUGGUUGGCGGGGUAACGGCCCACCAAGGCGACGAUCAGUAGCCGGACUGAGAGGUUGGCCGGCCACAUUGGGACUGAGACACGGCCCAGACUCCUACGGGAGGCAGCAGUGGGGAAUAUUGGGCAAUGGGCGCAAGCCUGACCCAGCAACGCCGCGUGAAGGAUGAAGGCUUUCGGGUUGUAAACUUCUUUUAUCAGGGACGAACAAAUGACGGUACCUGAUGAAUAAGCCACGGCUAACUACGUGCCAGCAGCCGCGGUAAUACGUAGGUGGCAAGCGUUAUCCGGAUUUACUGGGUGUAAAGGGCGUGUAGGCGGGACUGCAAGUCAGGUGUGAAAACCACGGGCUCAACCUGUGGCCUGCAUUUGAAACUGUAGUUCUUGAGUGCUGGAGAGGCAAUCGGAAUUCCGUGUGUAG
rnacentral:rRNA from 1 species